GAGACCCGAGGCGCGAGCCGGGAAGCGCGCUUCCGACGCCUCCCAAGCUGUGCAAGUUAGGACCCGCGGGGUGAACCUCCAGUACAAGGCUGAAUAGAAGUGGCAAGAGCAGACAUCCUUUUCUCGUUCCUGACCUUAGGGGGAAAACAUUCAGCCUUUCAUCGGCAUUGGAGAGAGAGUGUGGUGAACAAGUCAAAGUCCCUGUACUCCUGUGACAUGAAUGACUUCCUCUGUUAUAAGCAAGUAUUUGCCAGCUUCACAUCGUGGCAUAUCCGAAGACCAACAGGAAAGAAAUUUU